rnacentral:lncRNA from 1 species
GGGCUGGAGGCCCCGGCGGCUAGAGGAGGCCUCGGUGGUACCAGAAGAGGAGGGGCUGAUGUGAACAUCCGGCAUUCAGGCCGCGAUGACACCUCCCGCUACGAUGAGAGCCCGGCCCCUCCCCGCUUCCGCACAGGGACCGGGACCGGGACCGUGAGCGGGAGCGCAGAGAGCGGAGCCGGGAGCGAGACAAGGAGCGAGAACGGCGACGCUCCCGCUCCCGGGACCGGCGGAGGCGCUCACGGAGUCGCGACAAGGAGGAGCGGAGGCGCUCCAGGGAGCGGAGCAAGGACAAGGACCGGGACCGGAAGCGGCGAAGCAGCCGGAGUCGGGAGCGGGCCCGGCGGGAGCGGGAGCGCAAGGAGGAGCUGCGUGGCGGCGGUGGCGACAUGGCGGAGCCCUCCGAGGCGGGUGACGCGCCCCCUGAUGAUGGGCCUCCAGGGGAGCUCGGGCCUGACGGCCCUGACGGUCCAGAGGAAAAGGGCCGGGAUCGUGACCGGGAGCGACGGCGGAGCCACCGGAGCGAGCGCGAGCGGCGCCGGGACCGGGAUCGUGACCGUGACCGUGACCGCGAGCACAAACGGGGGGAGCGGGGCAGUGAGCGGGGCAGGGAUGAGGCCCGAGGUGGGGGCGGUGGCCAGGACAACGGGCUGGAGGGUCUGGGCAACGACAGCCGAGACAUGUACAUGGAGUCUGAGG